CCUACGGGGGGCAGCAGUGAGGAAUAUUGGUCAAUGGACGAGAGUCUGAACCAGCCAAGUGGCGUGAAGGAUGACUGCCCUAUGGGUUGUAAACUUCUUUUAUAUGGGAAUAAAACGUUCCACGUGUGGGAUUUUGUAUGUACCCUAUGAAUACGGAUCGGCUAACUCCGUGCCAGCAGCCGCGGUAAUCCGGAGGAUCCGAGCGUUAUCCGGAUUUAUUGGGUUUAAAGGGAGCGUAGGUGGAUUGUUAAGUCAGGUGUGAAAGUUUGCGGCUCAACCGUAAAAUUGCAGUUGAAACUGGCAGUCUAGAGUACAGGAGAGGUGGGCGGAAUUCGGGGUGUAGCGGUGAAAUGCGUAGAUAUCACGAAGAACUCCGAUGGCGAAGGCAGUUCACUGGACUGCAACUGACACUGAGGCUCGAAAGUGUGGGUAUCAAACAGGAUUAGAUACCCUGGUAGUC
rnacentral:rRNA from 1 species